ensembl:snRNA U2 U2 spliceosomal RNA
AUCGCUUCUCGGCCUUUUGGCUAAGAUCAAGUGUAGUACAAGUAGUUAUUCAGACAAAACAUUUUAAUAUACAAAAUUCAGUUUUUAAAGUGUGAAGGAAUUAUUAUUUAUUCAACAAGUAUUUUUCAAUACCCACAAUGU